GACGAACGCUGGCGGCGUGCUUAACACAUGCAAGUCGAACGGGAGUAUUGAAGAAGCUUGCUUUAGAGAUACUUUAGUGGCGGACGGGUGAGUAACGCGUGAGGAGCUGUCCAAUGCAGGGGGACAACAGUUGGAAACGACUGCUAAUACCCCAUAAGCCGAGAGGUAAAAGGAUUUAUCCGGCAUGGGAAGUACUCGCGUCCUAUCAGCUAGUAGGUGAGGUAACGGCUCACCUAGGCGAAGACGGGUAGCCGGCCUGAGAGGGCGAACGGCUACAGUGGAACUGAGAUAGGGUCCAGACUCCUGCGGGAGGCAGGAGUGGGGAAUAUUGGGCAAUGGGGGGAACCCUGACCCAGCGAGGCCGCGUGGGUGAAGAAAUCCUUCGGGAUGUAAAGCCCUGUUGUAUGGGAAGAGCGGAAGACGGUACCAUACGAGGAAGCCCCGGCAAACUACGUGCCAGCCGCCGCGGUAA
rnacentral:rRNA from 1 species